UGAAUAAUGAUGCCUGAUGGAUAUCUGGUGGAUCAAGUGGUCCUUAUUUUGUGAGUGGGGAAACUGGGCUUAGAGAGGUAGAAAGGCUUCACCAAUGAAGCUGUGAAGCAUGAGGACAAGGAGGAGAACUCAAGGUCUGCUACACCAAGGCUCUUGACACCACAGCUUUCCCAGACGUGACUCUUGCCUCCUUUGGGCACUGCUCCUUGGGUGAGCCAUCUCCUCUCAGGCAGUAACCAUCCCCAACCCAUGGCAAUAAUCAGAUGAGGUGGAAGGGAGAGAAUCAUGGCCAGUUUCUUGGUGCUUUCUGCUUUCCUGUGACUCCGAGCCCCUGUCAGCCAUCUCUGUGCCCGUGAUGUGCCCUGGACACAGGCUGAGCGGGCCAGGAGGAGCCCAGGGGCAAGGGUGCUCUGUGGAGUUUGGCCUCCCUGUCAGAACUCCAAGCACCAGAAAAGGCGAGCAGUUUGGUUUCCAUGGCAACCUGCCCACCGGAUCCCUGCAGCUGCAGCCCCUCACAGGCCCCUGAGGCGGGGGGCUGCGGGUGGCCUAAGCCAGCCCUGUGCCCACGUCGGCCCCCGCUGGGUUCAGGCCCUAGGCAGGCUGCUCAUUCUAAGCUGGAGCUUUGCCUGACAUGGUUCCCAUGGGGACGGCUGUGGGCACACGCUGCCUGUGGUCAGAUCCCCAGCUCCCAACUGCCCUGCAAUUCAGGCAGCUCCUCCCAGGCUCAGAGCUUUUGGAAGAAACAGAACCAGGAGACAGAAGAUCUGCCUAUCAGCCGACAGAUGUCUCACCCUCCUACCAUCACAGAUGAUUAGAGCCUCAGACUGAGGAGAGUGUCCAAGGUCACCCCACCGCUAUUUGGGAGUGUGGACAUGAGACCCGAGCAAUCUCCAUCGUCUGCCAUGUUCCCAGGCCGGAGAGAGCAACAAAGAGUUCCUGCAGUGAGGAUGGGUGGAGGUGGGCCCUGAGGUGCCUGGGUGAGUGGUGAGCAUGCCAUUGAGCCAUUGCUGCUGGCUUUCAGCAGCAGAAGGAAGUGGACCCGCCUGCGCCAGUCUUCUUGCCACUGAACACUUGGUUAUUAAAAAGACUCCUUUAAGACUGCUUGAUGUUUUGGACUAAAUAAAGCUGUGCUCCCACUCCAAUUGAGCUUAUAAUGGAGUCUAAUUUUAUAAAGAAGCCAAUUAAUGGCUUUGUAAAUAUAAAAGAAAGGAUCCCUGCUUUUUUUCUUGACCAAAAGGCCCCAGAAGUUAGUCCUGUAAAAAUGUCAAAUCUGGCUUUAAAGAAUGGCAGGACUUCUCCAAGGAGAAUAACAGGAAAUGACUCACCGAGGGCACCCCGAGGCCG
rnacentral:lncRNA from 1 species